GACGAACGCUGGCAGCGUGCCUAAUACAUGCAAGUCGAGCGCUGAAGGUUGGUACUUGUACCGACUGGAUGAGCAGCGGACGGGUGAGUAACGCGUGGGGAAUCUGCCUUUGAGCGGGGGACAACAUUUGGAAACGAAUGCUAAUACCGCAUAAAAACUUGAAACACAAGUUUUAAGUUUGAAAGAUGCAAUUGCAUCACUCAAAGAUGAUCCCGCGUUGUAUUAGCUAGUUGGUGAGGUAAAGGCUCACCAAGGCGAUGAUACAUAGCCGACCUGAGAGGGUGAUCGGCCACAAUGGGAAUGGGACACGGCCCAAACUCCUUCGGGAAGGAGCAGUAGGGGAUCGUCGGCAAUGGACGAAAGUCUGAACGAACAACGCCGCGUGAGUGAAGAAGGUUGUCGGAUCGGAAAACUCUGUUGGUAGAGAAGAAAGUUGGUGAGAGUGGAAAGCUCAUCAAGUGACGGUAACUACCCAGAAAGGGACGGCUAACUACGUG
rnacentral:rRNA from 1 species